AAUAUCAAAUUAAAACUUAACAAGGGAUUAACUUGCUAAAAGUUGUAGUUUAGUUCCUAAACCUUGAGAAUCUAAGAGUUGUAUUAAAAGGAACUCCGCUUCGUCAACUAGACGGUUGCAAGGUGAGAAUAGAACCUGUAAAUUCUCAUAUAGAGAGAGAACCAUAGGUAUGGGUCCCGAACGGAUAAGGGAAUAAGAAAGAACAAGAUCUCCAUCUGCUCUUUAUAUAAGCAAUUAAAGGCCUCUUGCUAGUAGAAGGCCAAGGCCUAUUAGUUCUUGGUGGAAUGUGAGAGAGGGUAAGGGGUAAUGAUAAUUAGAGAAAUGAGUGAAUGAAAUAAGAGAAGAGGGAAAGUAGCUCUAUUUAAAGAAAAAAGCAUUUUUUCUCUUCCACAAUUAGAGAAGGCUUUCAGAUGACUGCUUUGACAUAUUAGCCCGGAUUAGGCUUUGAUUUCAGUUCCCAGCCAAGGU
rnacentral:misc_RNA from 1 species